rnacentral:rRNA from 1 species
CCUACGGGAGGCAGCAGUGGGGAAUUUUGGACAAUGGGCGCAAGCCUGAUCCAGCAAUGCCGCGUGCAGGAUGAAGGCCUUCGGGUUGUAAACUGCUUUUGUACGGAACGAAAAAGUCUGCCCUAAUACGGUGGGCCCAUGACGGUACCGUAAGAAUAAGCACCGGCUAACUACGUGCCAGCAGCCGCGGUAAUACGUAGGGUGCGAGCGUUAAUCGGAAUUACUGGGCGUAAAGCGUGCGCAGGCGGUUAUAUAAGACAGAUGUGAAAUCCCCGGGCUCAACCUGGGACCUGCAUUUGUGACUGUAUAGCUAGAGUACGGUAGAGGGGGAUGGAAUUCCGCGUGUAGCAGUGAAAUGCGUAGAUAUGCGGAGGAACACCGAUGGCGAAGGCAAUCCCCUGGACCUGUACUGACGCUCAUGCACGAAAGCGUGGGGAGCAAACAGGAUUAGAUACCCUGGUAGUCCACGCCCUAAACGAUGUCAACUGGUUGUUGGGUCUUCACUGACUCAGUAACGAAGCUAACGCGUGAAGUUGACCGCCUGGGGAGUACGGCCGCAAGGUUGAAACUCAAAGAUUAGAGGCGNGAGAGAGCGACGACGACGACGAGGGAGGAGG